CCUACGGGAGGCAGCAGUGGGGAAUAUUGCGCAAUGGGGGAAACCCUGACGCAGCAACGCCGCGUGAGUGAGGAAGGACUUCGGUCUGUAAAGCUCUGUUAAUGAGGAAAAAUGGUAGUUGGUCUAAUAGGCCGAUUAUUUGAUGGUACUCAUAGAGGAAGCACCGGCUAACUUCGUGCCAGCAGCCGCGGUAAUACGAAGGGUGCAAGCGUUGUUCGGAUUUAUUGGGCGUAAAGCGCGCGUAGGCGGACCUGCAAGUAAGAUGUGAAAUCUCGAGGCUCAACCUCGAAACUGCGUCUUAAACUACAGGUCUAGAAUCUCGGAGGGGGAAGGGGAAUUUCGCAUGUAGGGGUAAAAUCCGUAGAUAUGCGAAGGAACACCAGAGGCGAAGGCGCCUUCCUGGACGAGUAUUGACGCUGAGGCGCGAAAGCGUGGGGAUCAAACAGGAUUAGAUACCCCGUGGUACGUACCGACGUCUAGUAAACGAGUAGUACGACUAGUAGUUAGGUAGGUAGUUACGUACCCUACCUACGUACGUCCGUCGUCGUACGUACGUAAGUUACGUUCCGUACCGUCGGAGUACCGGUCCGCGGAGUAACGUAACGUACGAAGAAGUAAGUUAAGUUAGUAGUUAGACGNGCGAGGACGACGACGAGGGAGGAGA
rnacentral:rRNA from 1 species